rnacentral:rRNA from 1 species
UACGUAGGGUGCAAGCGUUGUCCGGAAUUAUUGGGCGUAAAGAGCUCGUAGGUGGUUUGUCGCGUUGUUCGUGAAAACUCACAGCUCAACUGUGGGCGUGCGGGCGAUACGGGCAGACUAGAGUACUGCAGGGGAGACUGGAAUUCCUGGUGUAGCGGUGGAAUGCGCAGAUAUCAGGAGGAACACCGGUGGCGAAGGCGGGUCUCUGGGCAGUAACUGACGCUGAGGAGCGAAAGCGUGGGGAGCGAACAGG